GAGAGUCGCAGGCGAGAGUCGAAGAACUGGAAACUGCUCACUCGCACCUACAGAAACGAUUAGAUAAAUUGAAAAUGCAAAAUCAGCACUUUUAAAAGAACUGUAGCAAGACUGCACCACUCAUAACAAAUGAGUGGUGAUUAUAUCUACUACGCCAGCGAACUAGUGCGUGUGGGAUACAAGAACUUCGAAUUUUAUUACUACUUAU